GAUGAACGCUAGCUACAGGCUUAACACAUGCAAGUCGAGGGACCGGCGAACGAGUGAGUAACACGUAUCCAACCUUCCCUGUACUCGGGGAUAGCCUUUCGAAAGAAAGAUUAAUACCCGAUAUAAAGGAUGGGGAUGGGUUCCAUUUGGUUGUUGGUGAGGUAACGGCUAACCAAGGCUUCGGUGGAUAGGGGUUGUGAGGGGAAGCUCCCCCGCAUCGGAACCGAGACCCGGUCCACAACGGUACGGGAGGCAGGAGUAUGGUAUAUUGGUGAAUGGGCGCUAACCUGACCCAGCCGAGUAGGGUGAAGGAUGAAGCGUUAUGGGUCCUAAUCUUCUUUUAUAGAAGAAUAUUUAUUAUAUGAAUAAGGAUCGGCUAACUCCGUGCCAGCAGCCGCGGUAAUAC
rnacentral:rRNA from 1 species